rnacentral:ncRNA from 19 species
UGCGAUGAGUCGAGAGGAUCUUAAAUGAUCUUUGAUAAACGGCCCUCAUUAACAGUCGUAUUACUGGAGGGUGUAAAGCAAGUUGUGGAACUU